rnacentral:lncRNA from 1 species
AAAGUGCUGGGAUUACAGGUGUGAGCCACCUGGCCGGGCCCUCCACUUCCUUCUUGUACAUUGCUGAAUCCCUGUGUCAGCCCUAGAGGUCCAGUCUUUUGCCCUCUCCCAGCCUUAAUCUACAAUUCUGUAACCCACCCACCAUCAUUAAAAUGAGAUUCUUCUUUGUCGCUUCCCUUGGCUAAAAUGGAUUAUUCUUUAACCUCUCCACCAAUACAACCAGGGAUGAUAAUAAAAACAUUGGAUUGAGCAGAAACCAAUCAAAUAACUAG